rnacentral:rRNA from 1 species
GUCCACGCCGUAAACGGUGGGUACUGGGUGUGGGAGGUGUAAUGCCUUCUGUGCCGAAGCUAACGCGUUAAGUACCCCGCCUGGGGAGUACGGCCGCAAGGUUGAAACUCAAAGGAAUUGACGGGGGCCCGCACAAGCGGUGGAGCAUGUGGUUUAAUUCGACGCAACGCGAAAAACCUUACCUGGGCUUGACAUGGCGAGAACCCGGUAGAAAUACUGGGGUACUUCGUAAGAGGAACUCGCACACAGGUGCUGCAUGGCUGUCGU